UGGGGACCCGCGACCUCCCCACGAGGCGACAUGCCGAAGUAUCGC
rnacentral:ncRNA from 1 species